rnacentral:rRNA from 1 species
GACGAACGCUGGCGGCGUGCCUAAUACAUGCAAGUAGAACGCUGAAGGAGGAGCUUGCUUCUCUGGAUGAGUUGCGAACGGGUGAGUAACGCGUAGGUAACCUGCCUGGUAGCGGGGGAUAACUAUUGGAAACGAUAGCUAAUACCGCAUAAGAGUAGAUGUUGCAUGACAUUUGCUUAAAAGGUGCAAUUGCAUCACUACCAGAUGGACCUGCGUUGUAUUAGCUAGUUGGUGGGGUAACGGCUCACCAAGGCGACGAUACAUAGCCGACCUGAGAGGGUGAUCGGCCACACUGGGACGGAGACACGGCCCAGACGCCUACGGGAGGCAGCAGUAGGGAAUCGUCGGCAAUGGACGGAAGUCUGACCGAGCAACGCCGCGUGAGUGAAGAAGGUUUUCGGAUCGUAAAGCUCGGUUGUAAGAGAAGAACGAGUGUGAGAGUGGAAAGUUCACACUGUGACGGUAUCUUACCAGAAAGAGACGGCUAACUACGUG